GAGACGACGCUGGCGGCGUGCUUAACACAUGCAAGUCGAACGGAAAGGCCCUGUCUUUUGUGGGGUGCUCGAGUGGCGAACGGGUGAGUAACACGUGAGUAACCUGCCCUUGACUUUGGGAUAACUUCAGGAAACUGGGGCUAAUACCGGAUAGGAGCUCCUGCUGCAUGGUGGGGGUUGGAAAGUUUCGGCGGUUGGGGAUGGACUCGCGGCUUAUCAGCUUGUUGGUGGGGUAGUGGCUUACCAAGGCUUUGACGGGUAGCCGGCCUGAGAGGGUGACCGGCCACAUUGGGACUGAGAUACGGCCCAGACUCCUACGGGAGGCAGCAGUGGGGAAUAUUGCACAAUGGGCGGAAGCCUGAUGCAGCAACGCCGCGUGCGGGAUGACGGCCUUCGGGUUGUAAACCGCUUUCGCCUGUGACGAAGCGUGAGUGACGGUAAUGGGUAAAGAAGCACCGGCUAACUACGUG
rnacentral:rRNA from 1 species